CUACAAAUGAAUUGAGGGGACCCGCACAAGCAGCGGAGCGUGUGGUUUAAUUCGUUGCUACACGAAGAACUUACCUGGGUUUGACAUAUAGGUUGUAGGGAACUGAAAGGGACCGACCCUUCGGGGAGCCUAUACAGGUGUUGCAUGGCUGUCGUCAGCUCGUGUCGUGAGAUGUUCGGUUAAGUCCGCUAACGAGCGCAACCCUCGUCGUAUGUUAUAUGUGUCAUACGAGACUGCCGGUAAAAGCCGGAGGAAGGUGAGGAUGAUGUCAAGUCAGCAUGACCUUUAUAUCCAGGGCUACACACACGCUACAAUGGUCUGUACAAUGGGUAGCCAAGCCGCGAGGCGGAGCCAAUCCUGAAAGCAGGCCUCAGUUCAGAUUGCAGUCUGCAACUCGACUGCAUGAAGCCGGAGUUGCUAGUAACCGCAGGUCAGCAAUACUGCGGUGAAUACGUUCCCGGGUCUU
rnacentral:rRNA from 1 species